rnacentral:tRNA from 16 species
UGGAGAGGUGGCAGAGUGGUUGAAUGCGGCAGACUCGAAAUCUGCUUUAGGGUCACACCUAACGUGGGUUCAAAUCCCACCCUCUCCGU